ACAACGGCGGUGGAGCAUGUGGUUUAAUUCGAUGAUACGCGAGGAACCUUACCUGGGCUCAAAUGUAUGUUGACGUAUUCUGAAAGGGAUACUUCUUCGGACAAUAUACAAGGUGCUGCAUGGUUGUCGUCAGCUCGUGCCGUGAGGUGUCGGGUUAAGUCCCAUAACGAGCGCAACCCCUAUCAUUAGUUGCCAUCAGGUCAAGCUGGGGACUCUAAUGAAACUGCCUACGCAAGUAGUGAGGAAGGUGGGGAUGACGUCAAAUCAGCACGGCCCUUACGUCCAGGGCUACACACGUGCUACAAUGGCCGAUACAGAGGGCAGCUACCUGGUGACAGGAUGCAAAUCUCCAAAGUCGGUCUCAGUUCGGAUCGGAGUCUGCAACCCGACUCCGUGAAGUUGGAUUCGCUAGUAAUCGCGCAUCAGCCAUGGCGCGGUGAAUACGUUCCCGGGCCUU
rnacentral:rRNA from 1 species